CCCAACCCCCUACCUUCUUUGAAAAACUAGAGACCUGAGGUCGAGACCCUUGCCGAUGACCACCACACCAGCUCAUUGCACCGCCGUCAAUCGUCAGUAUAGCCCGCUGUGCCGCCGUUGAUGAUCCAUUUAGCAGCAUUGUGCGUCUCAUACAUAUGACAGCAUCACGCGAUUUAUCGUCUCUUCAUCUACUAAGCAUCAUCGCGUCGUGUCUUCUCCACUCAGCCCUGUCUUCUCCACUCAACUGGCGUUCUUCUUAUGCAUUUACAGAGCUAAGUCAUGCAUUUGUGUUCUUGUCUUCUUCACUCUUCAGAUCUAAAUUUAUUUUACAGGAUGAAUCUGAUAUCUAUGAGUUGUAUCUUAAUGAUGAUUUGUUAUUCGAUUUCAAGACCUUGGGCUUCUUUGCUGCCAAACCCCCCGAGCCUUCCAGAUCCCUGUCUCGUGUUAGUUUAUUUUGAAUUAAGCUGCAUAACAUGGCGUUUCAAGUCAGACACCGGUUGCAUUUUCAAAGGCUUCAAAUGAGGCUCUUCCCCUUUGUUUCAAUCCUAAUUUUGGUGAUGCAUUGUUGACCCAAUACAAAUUCAAGGGUGAGCUUGUCGUGAAGGAUGUAUUUAGCAUUAUCCAAGAGAUUUCAGUUGUAAUCUCUCAAUGCUAUCAAGCCAAAUGAUGGUGAUGUAGUAGCUGUUGAAUUCAUACAAGUCAAUGAUAUUAGAAGAAUGACAGAGAGUAAUGUUGAUUAUAGCAGUUUUAAUCCAAAGUUAGAAGAUUUUGUAUAUUGAUAUGUACAAGAUCUAGCUACUUCCAAGUUUGAAUUGUAUUGUGAUAAAAAUAUUGAAUGGCAAUUUAUUAUAUUGAAUUUAUUUGAUUGUGA